rnacentral:tRNA from 1 species
ACCUGAGUGGCUCAGUGGUUGAGCAUCUGACUUGGACUCAGGUCGUGAUCCCGGGGUCCUGGGAUCAAGUCCCAUAUCAGGCU